GCCAGCAUAUGGCACAGUGGUUUGAGUGCUGGACUACAGCUCUGGAGACCAGGGUUCGAAUCCUAGCUCAGCCA